rnacentral:lncRNA from 1 species
CUGUUUUAUUUAAGGGGCCCAAUGGAACAACAUAUGUACAAAAUAUUGUUUUUACAUUGUAUACAAACAUAAAAUGGCAAUAUUUCCAAACUGUAGCUAGAACAAAGUUGAUGGGUGAGAUAUUAUUUUGUAAAUAUUUUUUACACCUCAUAGUCAUUCAAAUAGGUACAUGUCCUUUUUGAUUCGAUUCAAGCUCUUAUAUAACAAAUGAUGACCUAGUGUA